AGGAAGUGGGAUGACGUCAAAUCAUCAUGCCCCUUAUGACCUGGGCUACACACGUGCUACAAUGGGCGGUACAAAGGGUCGCGAACCCGCGAGGGGGAGCCAAUCCCAAAAAGCCGCUCUCAGUUCGGAUUGCAGGCUGCAACUCGCCUGCAUGAAGCCGGAAUCGCUAGUAAUCGCGGAUCAGCAUGCCGCGGUGAAUACGUUCCCGGGCCUU
rnacentral:rRNA from 1 species